rnacentral:lncRNA from 1 species
CAUGCUUCUGAAAUUCCCAGUUCAGAAUGUUUUUAUUUUUUAAUUAUUUUUUGUUCUGCCAUGCAGACCUGCAGAAUCAGAUGGAGGCUCUUCAAAGGAACUACUCCAGCCUGACCACUGAGCUACAGCAGAGAUGGCCCAAAGAGAGGAACAGCUCCUACCUUCAGGGCGACUGUCCUAGUUUGAAGACUUACUUCAUGGCCGUGAUUGAACACUACCUCCCCAUUGAGAAAUGCUUUCCCAUAGACACCACCAAGACUGUGAAAAGCACAUUCUCUGAAUUAUCAAGAAUGAAUGGUGAAGUCUUGACAGUAGGUAAGGUACUGGAAAUGCUCUCGGUCCUGGAAUUCCACUGAUUUUGCUUAAAAAAAACCUUUGCUUUUUCCUCUUUGCACACCAAUCUAACGACAACAGUCACUUCCUAUUAACAUCCAUUCUGCACGAUGGAUUGGACUAAGGGCAAGACCUUCAGUUGUAGUCCUCUUGAAUCUAGAGUCAGAGAGUCACGUAAUUGAAUGCAAUGCACUGUGUUAAUCAUUGUCCUUUUCUUCCAGUGUGGAAGUGGAUUCGGAAUGCAUCAGGUACCGGCAUUUAGCUGAAUCUUUUUUGCCUGUAGAGCACAUAUUUUCCUCAUGCAAUACUUUGUGUGCCUUGACAGAGAGACUUUCUCAUUGUUCAUUUCAGAAGCUAUAGCUGAAAGGCAUUUACAUAGAAGGUUAAAAUAAAAGGUUUAAGUUUCUUAUUUAAGUAUCGGAUGGAGACACUAGACUUAGGUUAAAAGUCUCGCCCUUCAGAUGAGAUGUAAAACUGAGGUCCUGACUCUGUGGUCAUUAAAAAUUGCAGGGUAUUUCUCAAAAAAGAAUAGGGGUGUUACCCCAGUGUCCCGGCCAAAUUUC